AAGCCUGAUCAUCAAGAAACAUAAGAUCAAGAUAUGCAGUUUAAGGAGAUGAAUGAAGUAUGUGCAAUACCUGAUGAACAGUGAGCCCAUUCAAGUGCUCUGCUAUGUGUUCUUCUGUAAUGGAACUAUUCUGCUUCCCAUAUGUUUUAGAAUCCAACUUGCUGACUGGAGGGAACUCCUAGAGAGCAACAUUUUAAAGUGAAUUACGAAUGAAAUGAGCCUCAGGGGAUCUAGUAAACAAUGUUAUGGAUAUUAAGCGUGUCGUACUUCGAGUCGACGAAUGACAACCGGGUUAACUCCAGCAAGCAUUUCUCGACCGAACUCCUCGUCUGUCCUCCAAGCUGUUUUGCUCUCUGGAAUUAGUAUAAUUUAACAUUCUAUUAGAGCAUUUCGAAAACUCGACAUCGUAGAGUUCGAUCUGAGUGAGAGCGUAGAUCAUAUUUGCAUACCUUUGAUCACAUCAGGCACGGGAAACUUCAGAAAUUGGCGGCCAUCGGAACGCAUCAGCUCCCUAAACAGCUGCCAAGGUUUUCGACCGGUUCGUCCUCGUCGCGGAUAAGGAAACCCGCUCGAGCCACCAAGAACGUGGCUCAGGCGUUUCACUUGGAAGAUAACUCUAACAAAAUCAUUUCAUGGCUUUAGAAUCAAAAUUUUGUGCACCCAAAAUGAAGAAUCUAAGCACAGACCAAAUGUUACCUUGUUGGAGAAAAAGACACGGUCGUAAGCAUAGC